rnacentral:tRNA from 1 species
GCAGUGGCUUAGCGGUAGAGUAUCUGCUUUGUGUGCAGAUGGUCCUGGAUUCAGUCCCCGACAUUUCCA